UCCUGGUUUGCUCAAUUGGUAGAGCGCUCGAAUGAAAAUGGAGAGGUCCCUGGUUCUAUACCAGGAAGAGGCA
rnacentral:tRNA from 1 species